GAUGAACGCUAGCUACAGGCUUAACACAUGCAAGUCGAGGGGCAGCAUAAAUCUCGCUCUAGAUUUGAUGACGACCGGCGCACGGGUGAGUACCCCGUAUCCAACCUACCUAUUACUCGGGUAUAGCGUUCCCAAAGAAAGAUUAAUCCCCGAUACGCUAUUGAGAUCGCAUGAAUCUGAUAUGAAAGAUUUAUUGGUAUUAGAGGGGGAUGCGUUCCAUUAGAUUGGUGGUGAGUUAACGGCUCACCAAGUCUUCGAUGGAUAGGGCAUCUGGGAGGAAGGUCCAGCACACUGGAACUGAGACACGGUCCAGACUCCUACGGGAGGCAGCAGUGAGGAAUAUUGGUCAAUGGGCGAGAGCCUGAACCAGCCAAGUAGCGUGAGGGAUGACUGCCCAAUGGGUUGUAACCCUCUUUUAUAAGGGAAUAAAUCGCUCCACGAGUGGAGCUUUGCAUGUAGCUUUUGAAUAAGGAUCGGCUAACUCCGUGCCAGCCGCCGCCGUAA
rnacentral:rRNA from 1 species